UACGUAGGUGGCAAGCGUUGUCCGGAUUUACUGGGUGUAAAGGGCGUGCAGGCGGCGCGCCAAGUCUGAUGUGAAACCCCGGGGCUCAACCCCGGGCAUGCAUUGGAAACUGGCGGGCUGGAGUGCCGGAGAGGUAAGCGGAAUUCCUAGUGUAGCGGUGAAAUGCGUAGAUAUUAGGAGGAACACCAGUGGCGAAGGCGGCUUACUGGACGGCAACUGACGCUGAGGCUCGAAAGCGUGGGGAGCAAACAGG
rnacentral:rRNA from 1 species